rnacentral:rRNA from 1 species
CCUACGGCGAGCAGCAGUGGGGAAUAUUGGACAAUGGGCGAAAGCCUGAUCCAGCCAUGCCGCGUGUGUGAAGAAGGCCUUCGGGUUGUAAAGCACUUUCAGUGGGGAAGAAAGCCUUGGGGCUAAUACCCUCGAGGAAGGACAUCACCCACAGAAGAAGCACCGGCUAACUCCGUGCCAGCAGCCGCGGUAAUACGGAGGGUGCGAGCGUUAAUCGGAAUUACUGGGCGUAAAGCGCGCGUAGGCGGUCUGAUAAGCCGGUUGUGAAAGCCCCGGGCUCAACCUGGGAACGGCAUCCGGAACUGUCAGGCUAGAGUGCAGGAGAGGAAGGUAGAAUUCCCGGUGUAGCGGUGAAAUGCGUAGAGAUCGGGAGGAAUACCAGUGGCGAAGGCGGCCUUCUGGACUGACACUGACGCUGAGGUGCGAAAGCGUGGGUAGCAAACAGGAUUAGAUACCCGGGUAGUC